AUAGAAAAGUAGUUGUCUUUUAUUGCCUGUUUCUUACUUGGCUCAUUCCUUUAAAUAUUUGAAUUAAAGAGCUUCCGGGAUACUUAGAGAAGGCUUGGGACUCCAAGCAUGUUGAGCCUGAAACCUACUGGCAGAAUGAAUACCUAGAAGUCUUUGCUGAAGUCUGUCAAAGCAGCAUGGCUGGGGUUGGAGCUGCUGCUAAUCAGUUCAUUAGCCAAAAUGUUACUGCUUCUGUUCUGUGGCUGUGGAACCUCAUCUUGCAGUGUUUAGUCCCGUGCUGCUGGUUCUGCGAUGACUCCCAGUACGGAAAUUCUCCAAGAAGAUGGUUUGAAGAAACCUCCAUCUUUCUAAAACUUGCCAGGAGAUCAGACAGACUGGGGCUAGGAAUUUUCGAUGGACAACUUUUUCCUCUGAGUUUGUUAUUUUUUUCCACUUUCUUGCUUAUGUUAGCUGGCCAUACCCUUUGCACUUACGGUGCAGUGUAGGAUCCAGCUUAUUUUCUUGGAUUGCUCUUUCACUAAAGUCUAACGUUUUUUGCCCUGUAACAUACAGGUUUCUUACUUGUGUGAGUGACUUGUUAUCAAGUUGCUGGGGAAGAAGGCACCUCCCUCUAUAUAGAAAACAUUCUGAAGGCAUUAAUUCUGACAAGGCAUUGCAACAGUGAGACACAGAGAUAAAUUUCACACUUCAGUGUGAAAACUAACUUCUACUGUACAGACUUAGGUCAGAGUAUAGAUCAGUGAUGAGGUACAGACUUUUACUCUUUUGCACCAUUUCCUUGCAAGCGCAGAACUAGAGGUCAGGUUGCAGAAUUCAGUCUAUUUUAGGUGUCCCAUGACAUGGCUGAAUCCCUUGUAUUGAGUUAGAACAAUCUUUUUCUCCAAGUCAGGUGAACAAGAACAUCAUAUUUUUAAAAGAUCAUUCUACAGACAGUUUGAUACUUAAAAGGUGGGGACCAGACUUUCCAGGAUGUUAUGGUGGCCACAGCUUGGAAUGCUAUUUUGAUUGCCUAUUUAUUUUAUUUUUUUUAAGCUGAUUUCUCAGCCUUACCCAUCUCUGUUUUCUCUGCUUGUAGAUCAGAAGAUAUUUUUUGUAAAACUGAAGGUGUUCAAGAGUGUAUUCUUGGACUAAAAUGGCUGGAUGUAGACUUUGCUUCUUUAUUUGUCUGUAAAGUAUUUGCGGUGCCGCGAGUAUAACCUUGGUACAUUUUGAAAGAGCCAUCCCUAAGGUUUUGAGUAUUUGCAACUCUCUAAAUACUGUAUCGAUAUGAAGAGAAAUGAAUGUGCUGAUCCUUCUGUGCUUUAUGGGAUUAUCUCAUUUAUUUAAAUGGCACUUUUGGUUAGAUAUAAACUUGUAUGACCAGGUCCUUAACUUCUAAGUUUUGCCCUGCAGAUAUUCUUGGACUGUAUUGUUAUGAUAGUCCUACAUGAGCUGAGAUGCUUUAAGCAUUUAUAAAUCUUUAAAAUGAGCUCACUAAGCUGGUUCUGCUACAGAAGACAUGACCUUUCUGGUAGCUCAUAAAACCCUUGGAGAUGUGCUAGCAUGCUGUUGGCAGGCUGAACAUAGUCUUUGGGAGUAUUAUAUUACACCAGCAGUAAAAUCCAUCUAAGGCCUUACUGCCAUGCUGGUUCAAUACCAGCUAUAUUCAUAAGGAGGAUACACGGUACGGACUGGAACAUGACUCUUUGGUACUGCACCAUGAUUUGUGGUUUUAUCUUUGCAUUAUCUAGUGUAUGCAUCUUGAGUUUUAAACUGCAGCUGAAGGAGGCUGUACAGGGGCUGAAGAAAGCCAUCCUUCCUCUGUCUCAAAAUAGUACUUUGUUCAAAAGAAAAAGUUGAGACACGGGAGCUCUGCGAAGUGGGUUAUUGCUGUUCAGUGAUUCCUGUGCACUCUUUCAGACUUCGUCAUACUGAGGGCACUGUUUCACCAUCGGUUGUCAGACAGUAAGGAUAAAGUCAUUUGGAAGAUUUAUUGUAAUUAGCUGUACACCUGUUCCGAAUAUUCUUCUCCUGUCUGUAAUACAGUUCCAGAACCUAGGCUACAUUUAGCAGAAUUCUCUAAGUGGACUGGAGUAUUGUGUUGGGCCAACGACUAUAUGCUAUUCAGGAGUUAUUUAACCAGGGACAGUGUGUCUCAGUACAUUAUUAGCAUGCUAUGCUCUUCAGCUGCUUUAAAGAGUGUACUUGUGCUGGUUUUGGCCAGGGUAGAGUUAAUUUUCUUCCUAGUGGCUAUUAUGGGGCUAUGUUUUGGAUUUGCACCGAAGACAGAGAUGAUAAUAUAGAGAUGUUUUUGUCAUUGCUGAGCAGGGCUUACACAGAGACAAGGGUUUUUCUGCUUUUCAUACUCCACACUGGUAAGGAAGUUGGGGGUGCAUGGGAAGCUGGGAGGGGGCACAGCCAGGACAGGUGACCUGAACUGGCCAAAGGGAUAUUCCAUACCAUGUGACAUCAUGUUCAGUACAUAAAGUGGGGGGAAGAAGGAGGAAGAGGGGGAGAUGUUUGGAAUGACGGUGUUUGUCUUCCCAAGUAAGCGUUACAUGUGGUGGGGCGCUGCUCUCCUGCAGAUGGCUGAACACCUGCCUGUCCAUGGGAAGCAGGGAAUUAAUUCCUUGCUUUGUUUUGCUUGUGCACACGGCUUUUGCUUUUCCUAUUAAACUGUCUUUAUCUCAACCCACAAGUUUUGUGGCUUUUGCCCUUUCCAUUCCCUCCCUGAUCCCACUGGUGUGGGAGUGAGCGAGCAGCUGUGUGGGGCUUGGUUGCUGGCUGGGGCUAAACCAUGACAGUACUGUUAAGAAACCAGUAUGUGAAAGAGAAUGUCUUUUUAAGUUUUUUGUUAUGUUACUUAACACCAAAGGUGUUAGCAAAGUCUUGUCAUGGAACGCAUCUGAACAUUUCCAUGCAUAUCUCUCUAGAGAGAAUGCAUAUUUGGAAAGGAAAUCUAAUAUGAAAAUUAGCAGUCAGCAGCUGAAUUUAAAUUUCUGUGAUGCAGUACACAGUAAGCAAUUAAAGUUGCUCAUUGUCUGUAAGCAGGACUAAGAUUUUGUUUCCUACUUCUUGUGAUGGUUAUGAAGCUGCAUAUGUGAAAAGAAUAUUGAGUUCUUAGAUGCAGAUUUUUGUUAAGUGUAUACUGUGAAAAUGGGAACUAAAAUAAUAAUCAAGUAGAAUAAUUGUCUUGCAAAAAGCAUGCAAAAUGUGAAAGUGAGGUGCUCUGAAACUGUUAGAAUAAAAUGGGGACUUAAGUAAUUUUGGAAUUAAGGUAAAGCUGCUCUUCAUGGGAAUUGAUUCUUUCUCCUUGUUCUGAACACAUUACUCCCGUUGCACCUGAAAUCUGUUCAGGUGUUGUAUGUGAAACAGUGUGGGUCAAAGUGCAGCAGCUAUUGUUUACGUCACGGUGUCCUGUGCAGUCAAAAGCUACCUUUCUGGUACAACAUAUAAAACAGCUCUUAGAAAAGCACAUGCUACUAAGACCAGUGCUUAUCUCAGGAGAUUCAGCUUUCUCUCAUCUCCUGUCAGUCUUUACUUUUUAUUUUUAAAUGUUCUCUGCUGCAGUGUGUUCUCAUUUUCAAACUAAGGGAACAUGAGUCUCUCUCCACAGAGAAAACUACUUAGCAGUAGACCUGGUUAGAAGCUUUUUAGAUGGAAAUCAGAGGGGGAUUUGUGUUCAUUUGUUUAGGACUCUUGUAGUCUGAACAGAAUGUGACAGCAGUCCCUGCAACAGAAAAUCGCAAUGGCUAUGGCAGUCUCCUGAGAAAUGAGAAAUCCAGGGUAGUGCCUGCUUUCCCAGAUUCCACCUAGAAUCUUAAUUUGAAUCAAUCUACUAGAAAAGAAGAUCAUAUUGCAGAAAUCAUAGUGAUCUGGUACCACUGUCAGUGCUGCUCAGACCCCACAGAGCCUUAGAUGGAGGCACCAGGUAGUCUGUCAGCGUUGCCUGGUUUGCUUUUGGUGCAUGCAUGUAUAGAAAACUGGGAGACAGGGUACUAGGAGCUAGACACUAGGGGCUGGUAUCUAUGAUUCGGUGCUCAUAGAAACAAACACUGACAGAGACAGACCAGAACAGGAAAAGCAUUAUGUACUGAAACAAGAAUCUUUAUUUCAGUGCAGUACAAAGAAAUGGGAGAUAUUUGCUUUGAAUGAAAGUGCUGAAACUGAAAAAUGAAGCACAUAAAAUACAUUUGUGUAUUAUUAGGAAUCCUUGGAUAUCAAAGCAGUGAAAAAUGAUAGCCAUGAUGCUGCAGCAUUAAAAUAAAUAUUUACAUAACUUUAAACUAAUGCAUUACUACCUUGAUUUAGUGUUGUAUCAUUGGUAGCUUAGUUUCCAGCAGUAUCAGAUGUUACCACUGACAAUGCUGUCUUAGCCAUCAGCCUUUCAGCCAGUGAUUUCCUUACGUUUAAAAUGCAUUGGUACAGAAGCAACACUCUGUACCAAGCCAGCUCUCCAAAACCUCAGCAAAAGCAGUCAGCCUCUUUUUUGUUUCUUCCAAAAGAACAAAUUCGAUCAGUUUUGUUAAUUACACUGAACUUUGGUUAUGUAUAAUAACACUGUAAACAGUGGGCCCAGUUCACAAUCAAGUAACAUGAACUCUGUAUUAAGGUCAUGAGAAAGUACUGUUUAAAGAAAAAAAAGAUUGCUACAUUGUCAUCCUGCAGCACCAAACACAAUUCUUUUUCAAGAAUGGUCUUUUUCAAUUACAGCACUCUUUUUCAGCUUGAAUCAGGACAGGUCAUCUGUUUUCCUACUAAAUGUAGAUGAUUUACGUUUUCAAAAGUAUCAAAACAUACUGACAUAGUGGUUUGCAGCAGGGUCAAUAGCCACAUUUACAGACUCAGUUUUUUUAUUUUUUAAUAAAUAAACAUUAAUUACACAGGUAUUGCUGUGAACCAAGCCCAUUGUCUAAAGGAAGCACAUUUCUUGCCAAAUUAAAAAUCUUUACAUAAGAACAUGUUUUUAUAAUGGAUUUGAAUAGCUGCUGUGUAAAUUAUUAAAUUCAUGUGUCUUCCUGCUUGCACUUUGUACCAACACAAAAAAGUGAAUAAACAUGCAGUAAAAUGUAGCAACGUUUAGAAAAUAAUGUGUAAAAAAACCAUUCAGUAUCUUAUAUUAAAGCAUUUACACUGCAUAGGCAUUCAUAUAAGGAUAUAGUAUAAUAAAACUUAUCAAAUAUACAAGCAUGCAGCAGUUGCCUUAUAUUCACAGUUCUAGAAAUGACCACACAUUGAUUUCCUCAAAUAUAAAUUGGAUUAUCCAAAAUAGAUUUUGCAGCCACUCUCCUUUGCAGUGGCAAACUAUGUUCUUGUGUGCAUUGCAGAUACUGACCUAUAUAACAGGCCUAAGCUAUGCUGCUGUAUUGUACAUAUCUGUGAUAAAUACUGUGUUUUGGAAUAGGAAGGAUAAUGAGAAGUUAUCCAUACUUCUCAUAGCAGAACUUGGAGACUACACAGUGCUUGAAUUGAACAAAAUAUAUAAGCAUAUUAAUUGUAUUCUCCUUAGAGAGUAACACUGUAACCUUGCCACAUAUCUAGCUACUGCAUAAGCUGGCCAUGCAGUUUUCAAAAUAUGUUUAGACAGAUUUUUCUAUUUGAUAUUUAUUCCAUCAGAAGAGGUAUAGUAGUAAACUUAUAUAGUACAUACCCUUUUUGCUCUGCAAACUAUAAAGGACUCCUGCUACUUUUAGAUUGUGUAGGAAAAUACAAUGCAGUGCCAAAGUCACAGUCAGAGAUUUAAAAUUUGUUUGCAGAGAGAUCUUCUUUCUUCAUUUGUUGUUUUGAAGGUGGUGUUGUUAUAUACAAUGGUGAGUUUGGACCAUUUUAACAAUCACAAGAUGACAGUACCCAGAUUAGACCCCUUGUGUGGCUGAAUGCCACCUGGAGGAUAAAGUUGAGGUUAUGCGGCUUGAAGUUGUCUGUGGUUUUGACCUGCUUGUUAUUGCCUAGCUUGGCAGGUUAACCUGGCAUGUGACUCCAGGACAACAGCAAGCAAAAUACCUGGAGGCAAGGCUUGUGUUAGUUGUGCAAGGUUUGCAAAAUUGAGCUCCUACAUCCUGAUACAGGUUUUGGAUGUGCCAAGGUGAAAUCGGAUUGAGGAGUAUGACAUCAAACCCUUUCCCCACCCAGAUAUUUUUCCAGUAGUGCCUGCAUUCUGCUUUUGCCCUGAAUUCCCUUGUCUUCCUACACAGUAAUUUGUGUGUCUUAAAACAUUGUGUGCGUGCACUUCCUUCUUCUUAGCACUUCAGGUAAAGCUAGUGGAAGUAACCUCGUAGGAUGUUACAGCACCAACAAUCCAAGUUGCAGGGAUUCAUCCCUGUGUACAAAGCAGCAAGGGAUUCAGAAACAGCAUGUAGGAAAUAGCUUGAAAAGGGAAAAGACAGAUGAGGAAGAGAUGACAGAAACAUUUGUUAAUGGAAAAGUGGAGCAUGGAAAAGGAAGAGCUAAUUGGGGCAGUGGUUGCUGUUCUCUCUGUUAAAAAAAAAAAAGGUAUAAUCCUCUCUGGAAUGUUUCAUUCAGAGAGAAACAUUGCCCUUUGUUUUUUUAAAAAAGUGAGCUUUGGCACCCAUGCAAUGUGGGAAUGAAAAGGUGUGUGCUAUCAGGGAUGGUGAUGUUGAUGUACUUCUGUGCUGCAGCCAGGAGUUCACUUUUGUUAUUCGUUAUUCUGAAUCACUUUGUGUGAAUAUUCCUAUUCUCUGGUGAAGGAUAUGUAGCCCUUUCCAUAAAGCUGUACUAUUUCCUGUCAGUCUUAAGAGUAAGACAGCAGUGUGUCAUUGUGCUAGAGAUGUUCCAAGCUCUCCUGGCAUAGAUAUUCAUUUUCUCCUUGAUGAUAUGUCUCUGUAUGUAUGUGUGUGAGGAGCCUCAACUCUGCAUUUGGAAUCUGAUACAAGGACAUUUGGAAUCUGAUACAAGGACAUUUGGAAUCUGAGCUGGAUAUGGGGGCAUCUGAAUACUUUUACUGUAUCAACUACCACUUGGAAAAUGGGCUUACAGUUUAUUUUAGUUGGCUUACUUGCCACCACAGAUGUUGCUUUUCUGCGUUUCUCCAGAUUUGUUCGCUAAGAUCUCUGUGGUGACACCUGAAGACGCAAAUGCUGUGAGAAGUGUCUAUUUUUUAAUGAUUAUUUGGCAGUAAGGGCUGUAUAAAUAUACACAGAAUCCCAUUUUUUUGCCUAACUUUUAAGCUCUAUACAGACAGAUGGACAUAAGACUUUGAAUGCUGAAACCUUUGUACAGCAUAUCAAAAGUAGUGGUUCAUUGAUUCUUCACUGUAUCUCUGUCAUAUUGAGAGCUGCAGUUUAGAUGUGGGGACUGUCCUGUCUACAAGAGUAUUUUGGUUUAUAAAUUUCAGUUUCAUUCAUCUGAGAUACUGCAUUAGCCUCUUAUUCAUUUUCCAAUUAUCUUUUUUUUUAAUGUUGAAAAAAAUGAGAAUGCCUUGUGGUUUUGAUUCUGAUUUCUUAUGUAAUUUAAUAUUUGUACUAAAUUCUUUGGUGAAGAAGGUCCUCAGUGGACCUGCCAUUCAUUUUGUCUUUCCACAGGGAAAAUUCUUAUAAUCUAGUUUAGAAUUGUCUUUGAAGACUCUGGAGACUGUUAAAAGCAGAUGUGACAGCUGUCUUGAGUAUAGUGAGAAGGAGGAAAAGGAACUCUCCUGAGAAGUCUGAUAGUUUGCCACAAAGAAGUUGGUACUAAGCUGAGUCCAAAGUUCCCACAGGCAAUGACAAGUGUAAACCUGGACUGAGUUACUGAAGAAGUAGGAGACGGUAAGAGGACAAGUUAGAUGAGGAGAACAGCCCUCUGAUCUUUACAAAGAUACAGCUGUCACUUCCAGAAGCAUCCUACUUUUCUGUCAAGUUUCAAGAAAAACACUGAAUAUUGAAUACUGAAUUUGUCAUUUGAGGAAAUACAAAUAAGCAGUGCUUGUGUAGUAAUUUAAGAGACUGUUUGGACGUAAUUGAAUAUUGAGCACAUCCACUUGAAAAUAUUAGUUAGCAAGUCAGUCAAUAAAAUGUUGGUCCACACACUUCCAUUUGAAGAGCUUCUUGCUUAAACAACGCUACGUAUAUUGGUGCUUGCCUUUAAUCUUUAACAGAAGGAUUCCUUCCACAUGAAAUUCCCCAUUAAUUCCCUCAAAGUUACAUUCGAAAAUAAUUCCAGGUUCUUUCACUUAUAAAAUUUAAAUAGUUAUCACUUUUGGGGGGAAUUCCUUUCCUCAUUUGAGUGUGAUUAAUUUGUAAAGUUUGAUUGCCUGAUACUUGUGCUUAGUUUUCAUGAUUUUAUUAGUUCAGAAGUUCAGAAUGGUGUCUGUCUGACGACUAUAUUUGUACAUUAAAAGAACAUAUGCAAAGGCCGCAUGUGAUGUGCAAUUUGCAGGCAUGUGCUGUGUUGUAAAUCCUUGCUUAUAUUACACUAGGAAUUUGUAAUGUACAAGGAAGAGCCCUGUUUCAAAUACUGCCUUACUACUUAGUACCUGCUACAUAGACAUCGAUGGGCUUUUAUUCAUGCUUCUUUUAUUCUGUUAAGCGUAGGUUAGUAGUUGUUAAAGAUUCCCUCCUCAGUCUGAAAACAGUCAUGGGAGUUCACUCAUAUAAAGAUGAGCAAGGCGGAUGCAUAAGAAAUACAGGAUUUUGCAGGGAAAGGAACAAAAUAAGAAUGCAGCCCAGAGCUUUUAGGCCAGCACCCAGUCCAUUAACUCAGGCUGAUCCAAGUUAGUUUGUCUCUAGCUCUUUUUGCCCCUUUCUCUCUAGCCUUACUACAUUUUAUGCUGCUGCAGGAGGGAUGAACAUCACUAUGUGAGAUGCAAUGCCCACAAUGUGCUCACACAACACCAUUGCAAUACAUGUAAUUUGUAUUGUUCACGUUUGUGGCCGUGCAACAUAAAAGAACACAAAAUAAUCCUCCGGAAUGCUGCAGUUGCCAGCCAUUUUAUUAUAUUUUAUGUUCUUAAAGGGGAAAUGAUCAUGUUCAUUUUACAGGAUUUAAAAGAAUUUUUGAGUCUUCCUGUAAAAUUGCAGUGUAGAAUUUGUUGUGAACAAAACAGAGCUGACUCCCUUACUAUAGCAGAAUAAUUUGCAGCCAGAAUUCAAUUAUGGUCUUAAAAUCUGAUUUUAAUUCAGAAAUAGGCUGCAGUAGCUUCAUUUUUGUCCUGCAUGUUUUUUGAAUUUUAGGAAAAACCUAACUUUAGCAUAUUAAUGCAGUUGUAUCAUAUGAAUAUGGAAUAUAAAUGUGUUUUCAUGAAAGCCCAAUUUAAGUUACUGUGUUGAACCAUUCAAUACAGCUGGAUUCUUCAUUCAGAGUCUCUGUAAAUUCAUGAUCACAAGAUAACUUAAACACACAAUUCUCACAGAUUUUUUCUUUGAAGCCCUUGCAGAACUAAUCUAAACAGGAGGUGCAACAGAAAGCUCCACUUCAUUAUAAGACUGGAGUUUAUCUAUUGACUUCAGCAUCCACAGAGCGUAAAGCACAUGAGUUCUUUUUUUCUUGUCUAAACUAUUUUGAAUGAGGUCUCUUUUACAUGCUAGUUUGGCAAGCUUCUAAGGCAUUUGUGCAAAGUGAUGAUGCAAGAGCAACCUGAUUCAAUACUGAGAAAUUCAUAAAUAACAUCCAGCAGUAAUUAAAGUGAAAAACUACAGCUAAGAAAAGCAAUUAUCCUACAGAAUCACUUGAGCUACUAUACCCUGCAGUGUUAAAAGUGGAGUAUGUUUACUGGUGCCUUGAACUCAGGAGGUAUCAUUGUGAAUUUCAAACAUACCAAGGAUUCAUUCUGGGUUUUUUACAUAGAUUGCAUUGGAAUAACAGUGACUAAAAAAAUGAUGAUUUUAUAUAUAUAUAUAUAUAUAUAUAUAUAUAUGUAGAGAAAGGGUAAGAGUGGAAGAAAAAUACAGUGCCAGAAAUUACGGAAUUACGGUCUGGAAACAUACUAUACAUUUAGUCAAUGUUUUUGUAUUAAAAUGAAGAGUUAAUUUUGAAGACCAAAAUGGUUUUAAGAUAACUAGUGCACUCUAUAAGGUCAUUCUCAGGAGUGAAGUGCAUGAUAAUGCAAGAUAGGGAUAUUUAGGACUUCAGUUUGAAGAACCGGAAUAGCCAGCUGAUGUCUUUACCAUCUUGAUAAGAAAGCCUACGCUAUUUUCACAAAGUACACACCAAAGUCACAAAAAAACCCCUAUAAUUUCUUUGUCUGGAUUUCUCCGUAGAUGGAGAAUGGCAUGGCAUGUAACACAGAGCUUAGCUGUUCAAUUUUUAUGUAGUAGAAUUUAGAUAUCUAGUAGUAUAGUGAAUAAUGGGUAGGUCUUAAAAGUAGUAUUCUGAGGCUUUUCUACUUGUUUCUUAAGUUCUCCCCUGAACUACCAGCAGAGCCUGAAUUUACUGGGAGGAACACCUGGCCCUGUAUGGUGUAAAAUGUAAAUCUGUUCCUGUAAGGGUACCGCUACAGCCAUUAUGCACAUAAUCUAUGCCUUUCUGGUCUUCAAAGAGAAGGUGAGAGUAGUUGUGGAUACUAGUUCAUACUUCAGGCAGAAAAAAGUGGUGGCUGGCACAAAGCAACUUGAGACUUAACGUGCAAGAUCUGUAAAGUAGCCACUAUGUGGUUGUACUUCUACCUGUGCUUACAGGAAUUUCUGUGGUUAUGGUUUUAAUAUCAGCCAGGUGUUGGUGGAAUUCAGAUUUCAGUUUUAUACCUUGGCAGGACAGAAUAAUUCAACUGUGUUGUAGAUAAAUUGAUAAUGAAGCCAAGAGUAAUUUGUGAAAUUCAGUUCUAGAGCUGGGAUUGGAUAAAAAUGCUCUGGUUUAGAUGUGCUUGUGGUUUGGAUGAACAUCUCGCAAUCAGUUUUUGUCUUUUUGUGACUCUAGUUUUAGGUACUAAACUGUAAACAUCACAAUAUCUAGUCUUCUUACUUAAGAAGUUUGCUGUAUGCCUUAGUACUAGAUACAAGAUCUUUAGCAGGACUUCAUGUGAGGAACAGUUAAACAAAAGCUUGUAUAAAUAAGGCACUAGUAAAUGUUUGCAGCAAACAACAAUUACAGUCUAUAUUCUUUAAGAAUAAAACUGUUCUAUUUAGGAAAUGCCUUUAAUAUGACAAUUACCAAUGCCAGUUAGAAGGGGACUAGAGAAAGUGCAUCUUUUGGAUUAUGCCUGUGAAGUCUGCAAGAAACCACUGUAUGCAAAUCUCCAUCAAGUUUGGAAACAGCCUGUGCAAUGGUGAUACUCAGGAGAACUGAAGCAAGAGGAAACUAGUUUAGAUUCUGAUCCCUGCUAAACUAGUGUGAAAUCACUGUAAUGGAUUUGCUCCAGAUUUAUUACAGUGGUAGAAGGAUCUGAAGCCAGAAUCGAGGCUGUUGUGGCAAAUCUAGUUAAGCAGUAACAGCACUGACACAAACAAAGUAAUUGGCUAUAAUCCUCUUAAAAGUUUCAAAAAAGAAUCUGAUAUAUUAAAUUUCCUAUUUGCUGAAGUCCAAGGAUGCACUUUGUCUUUUGGCUAAUGUAAUAGAACAAAAUUUUCUGUACUACUUUGGAGGUGAUGCCAUUCUAAACAGUUACUAAAGUAUCAAUCCAUAUUUUAUAUCAAAUGAAAUUCGAGUCUGCCAGUCUGCUUGUAAGAUGGCUAAUGGGUAUUUCACAUUAAAAGUUGUUCAAAAACACCCAAACUCUUCCAUUACUAAAACCAAAACAUACUACCACUUUUAUGUAUCAUCUCUUUGAGGGGGGUCAUUGAAGCACCAAGAAUUUGUUUAUCAAGCCAAUAAGAAUGCAUUUGUAAAUUAAUGGAUCUUGUUAGUAUUCAUGAUUGUAUUUCUCCAGGAUCUCUCCAUCUGAACCAUUCAUUUGGUAUACUAAAUCAAUCAGGGGUAACUCCACAGCCUGAUUUCAUUACUAAAUCCUGCUUUGUAAACAUAUAGCUUAGCUUUAUCAUCUGACAAAUUUCUGUUCCACUAAGAUCCUCCAUUAUUUAUACAAGAUGUCAUUUAAAAAACCUAACACAUUUCCAGUAUUCAUAAUGCAAGAGGGGAAAAAACCCUACAUUGAUUCAUUCUUGUAUAUUAUUGCCAUUAGGUGCUACGAUUAACAACUCCAGACAGUGGGGUUUUUUGUUUGCUUAAAUUAUUUUCUGUUUUAUGUAAGGAUGUUGUACUAAGUUUAUCUGAAGCUUUAAAAUCACCCAUCCAUGGGCAUCUCAGAAACUGUACAACUAUCUCAACUGGAUUUUAAAAAUGUGGUGGGCUUUUUGAUUGUUCAUUUUGUUUUGUUUUUUUCACGUUUGACUCAUAAGACUAAAUUUAUUGGUGGUAUAACUUGGCUGAAAUUUUCACCAUAAAUUAAUCUAGACUAAUAUUAAUUCCUUAAACAAAUAAAAAACCCCAGAACAAGUAAGUUAAGUGCUGAGGAUCUCUCUCCCACACUUGCUAUGCAUACUCUUAAGUUAUAUACAGAAGGAAGAAAAUCCAGAAAUUUCUCUUCACAAAGAUCUUUACUCAUAGCAACUCAGGAAAACUUUUUCAUUUAAAAUAUUUCUUUCUUAUAAGAAUGCCAGAAUAUAAACUUUUCUAGGUGUGUUAGACUAAUACAUGGCAUGUGUUUAUCUGAAUACCAGAAAAUGUUAUUGUGUAUUACAGCUGUGCAAAAUAUUUUCUGUAAAAGUUGACAACUUCAAAAAUUUUUUUCUUUUAUCAUUGUUUUCAAUAAGAUGAUGUAAAUCUUUGUGAUUGCAAAAGAAACAAACAUUCUUUGUCAAAAGUGUGCCUUUUGAGGUCAUAAUUAGUUUUGUGGGGUGUCUCCAGCUGACAAUCUGAAUUUGCAUAUGUUGCCUAAUUAGAAUUUCCUAAGCUGUGCUCACUAUAAAAUAAAUUUGAAUUUUUUACCUUGUAAGUAAAACCUAUAUUUUGAAAAUCAAGGUAGAUUUUUAACUUCUUCUUAAGAUUAAAAUAAUACAUUGGAACAUGGUUGGUUUUUCUUCUCUUUUUGCCCACUGCUUUCAAACUGUGCUUUCAGUAGGUGAGAAAGAAAAGUUGUCAUUUUGAAAAAGGUUCUGUGAAUAUUUAACAAAAUGCAGAAUGCAGUUUGCUUUCAUAGCUGUUUUUCUUCAGUGGAAGUAGAAUGAACAUUUUUAUGCUGAAAUUACGAUAUUACAUCUCUGAGUGGAGAAAAAUCUGUUGUCAAACAUUUAUGUGUAUUUCUUUAAAGAGCAAAGUCACACUUUUACAGAACUUCUCAGUUGCUUUUUGGUGCGAGUUGUGAUUGUAGAGGCACACUAUUGACAUCAACUGAAACUGUGGCCUAAAUGAAGGCAUCAUUUUUCUGUCCAUGCAGAUGUAUUUAUCUAUAUGGAUGAUAUUUUAACAAAAAAAGCCACUUCAGAAAUUUUAUUUUUUUUUAACUAAAAGUUAGAAGACACUUCCAGGUGUAAAAAUCAAACCAAAUUUCUAUAUGAUCAUUUAACAACAAUUAUUGCAUGAUUUUGCAUAAGCCUUGACCUUUCUAAAAAACGCAGUAUUUGAUCUUUAGAUGUGCAUUGGUUUGAUAAUAAGUCAUCACACAACUGCUGACUCACAUUUUAAUUUAGGGAAGAAAUUUUCUUGAGAUUACAAAAAAAUAAAAAAAAACAGUCCUAGGUCUUUGCUAUUAAUCCAGAGAUUUUAAUUUUUAGAUGAAAUGCAUGUAAUUGGAAAUAACUAUUAUGCUGAAAGGAAUCCACAUUAUUUUGAUACAAAAUCCAUUUAUCUGAGAGGCUUUAGGGAAUGUAACAAAUUUGAUCAGGCCAAUCCCAAUCCCUCAAAACCUUCUCAUUCUGUUAGGAGAUGAAUGAAUUACCAGUCCUAACUCUAAUGUAUUUUAAGGCUAGUUAGAAGACAUGGAAUAGUGAUACUAAAACUAAAUGCUUGAGACUAGGAAGUAUUUGCAUGACUAGGUAGUUAUUUAAAAGGAAUGAUUUAAAUGGGUGAAAAUUUGCUUAUUCCUUUAUAUUUUCUAAUACAGUAAACCUACCAUCUAUUUGUAUGUCAAUAAUAACUGAUCUUAGAAUGCCAUUUCAUAGCUUGAAUCUUCAUUUUGCCUCAAGGUUUGUUCUAGCCAGGUUGGCAAUUAGGGAAAGUCCUAAAACAGAAACAUUGAUACAUGCUGUUAAAUUCAAAUGCAGAACAUUAAAAUUAACAUGGAAGCGGAAAUGACAUUCAGUGUCAGAAGUAACAAAUUUGAACGUCUUAAAUAAUUCAAUAUAGAGAAUAUAGUUUAGACAGUUUUAAUAUAAGUGUGCUUUUUCCUAAAAACACCCCCCCGACCAAACUUUUUUUUUUUUUGCUUUUUAAGUCUUUUGUCUGUAAAUAUGAAAGAAGGCUACACCCCAACGUAAUUCUUCAUUGCCAUACUAAACAGUAAAAUAGUCUUUCUAAUUCACAUUGCUCAUGGCAGUCUUAUUUGAAGUUCCUUUAUUAAGUUUGUGAUUAAAGCAGUUUGGGAUUUUUGUUGGUUGUAAACUUUUGGCAUAAUGUGAAUACCAGUCCCUUUCAAAAACAGCCUUGAGUUGCUUAAUGAUGCUUGUGCUGUUCCCCGCGUCUGCUUGGUUGAUAACAAGGCCAGCUCCAGCAUUCUGCGUGAAAGCAUUUCCUACCCAAUCAAAAUUACCUACAAGUAAAGGCAGGAAUAUACAAUGAGUUUCUAACAUUAAAAACAAAGAACCAAACAAAAAAACACAUCUCCCUAAAGGCAAUCCAGCAUGAAACACUAUCAGUUCCCCAGGGCAGAGACAGAAAUGAGCUUUUUAUACUAACAGGAAAGAAAAAACUCCAUUACAAUACCUUGCAUAGUGAAGGUUGUUUCUGGAAGUUUAACAGCCUUCAUAAGAGAAAAGCCUUCAUAAGAGAAAACAGGUUCUUCUAUUUAUUCAAAACUAAUUUGUUCUUCUUUUUGCAUAUAUUGUAUUAUUACUCCAUUUACUUUCCUCAUCAGCCUUUUCAGUGCCAAGAAUGAAUUUUUUUUUUGCUGUAUAAACAAUUUAAAGUUCCGAACCAAUAGAUCUUUUACAGGUUACCCACUGAUAGAUACUAUUUCAGGAAAGAAAAAUCGGAGUUACAUUUUUAUGUCAGUUAUUACCACCUAUGUUGAAAUCUAAGGUAACAAAUGAGCACUUCAAAUCCUGGUGAUAGCGAGGCAAAGAGGAUAAUUGGACUAAUGGAAAACUAACUGUUGCAGUUACUUCUUUUUAUUUCACUAGAACUGUAAGUAUUUUAAAUUAUAUAUGUAAAACACAUGCAGUAUUUUGGAGAAACAAUGCUGUUAACUAGAGAUCAUAUUUUAAAAUAGUGCCUGAGCAUACAUAAAACAUGAAGGUAUCUGAGAAAUUUAUACCCUUUUUUCAGCAUUAUUUCAGCUACUUCAGCAGAAAAUGCUAAGAAUUCUAAAGUUGUCAAGGAUGGUAAAUUGAAGCCUCAUUAUAAGAGAUUUUUUUUCUGUGAUUUCAAGUAAAAGAUAUAUCAGGUUCUUAGCAUGCAUUUGUACUACUUUCACAAAGCUUUGAUAAUUCCUUUUUUUUAUUUAUCUGCAGCUAAGAAUGCAAGGACAACGGGAAAGAAAAAACCCAAUUUGGCUAAGAAUUCAUGUUGUGUAGAUGAGUUCCAAGGUACAGAGAUUUGAUCUGUCUGUGUGAAGGGAUUUAAAAUGGAGUGGAAAAAUAAUGUUGGGGGGGGCUCAUAAAACCUUUGGGAGAUGAGAGAGGAAUGAGCUACAGUAUUUGCAGUCAAAAUUAAGAUUUGGAUAGGUUAAAAUAGGUGUAUGUGUUUAAAGCCCAUCAAGGUGGGCUUUCCAGAGUAGAUUUUAGUUGUAUCUCUAUACAACUUGCUGGUGUGUGCAUGGGCCGUGCUUCUGGGUUGCAGCCUUUGCCCUUCCCCACUGCCUCUGCCAUCAUGGGCUAUGAGAGCUUUGCAGUGAGUCAGUAAGUAAGAUCCCUAAAGCAUCAAGCUGCAGCAUAUCAGAAUGCAUGUUUUCUCCCCUGGCUUUUUAAAAUGUUAUGAGUUGCUUUGUAAUUCAAUAAUGGUUUUCUCAUCCUGUGAGCUUAUGUACAACUCAGAUUUUUUAAAAGGUAGUUUUCAGCCUGCAUUCAGUGAGCAUUUGACUGGUAACGAACUUUUACUAGGUGCCAUAGAGCAACUUUACUUAAAUACACCUUUAGCCCAAAAUACCAGUUACACGUGUACCUAAUGUUAGGAGGGUGUCUGAAAUGCCAUUAUAGGAAAUGCAAUAAGACUUCACAAGAUGAGGAUGAAAGGCAUCUGUACAGUAUUUACCAGGAUUGACCACAGUAAUAACAUGGGAAAUGGAGAACAGUCCAUCUUCACUGGAUUGCAGAAACAAGAGAAUAUGCUAAUAAUCCAAGUUGUUCCUGCUUCAUAAAUGGUGUUAUAUUUGUGUUUUCGGUCUGUUUUAAAAUACUGAAAGCAGAAUGUGUGUUUUGAGAAACUGAUUCAUAGGGGAAGAAAAGUUUUUAAAUGGGAAGAGGCCUAAAGCUCAGUCUUCAUCCAGGUUCCCAAAGGAAUGAUCUGUUAACAAAUAUAUCAGCUGUGGAUUGCUCAUCUACAAAGGGGUGUUAUUUCAGGCUUUUGGAUACUAACUAGAAUUUCUUGAGAUGUGGUUACGUACCGAUAUAUGCAGCUCCAUCGGUCACCAUAUAUUUGUUACGAUUUAAUUUGGGAAGGGAAGCGUUCUUCUGUUCUUUAAGAAAGCAUGCACUCUCUUCCUCAAGGUCAAAGAAUUUCUGCCAUAAAACAGAAUGGAGCACAGGUUAAUGAGCAUUGCUCUAUAAGAGACAGAAAAAGCAUGGCUUGUUCUCUAAUUUUUAUUGAAAAUGAGUUAGUGCUACAGAACAGCUUGAGUUUUUAUAGCCAACCGUUAAUUUUAUAAAACACUGCACACUGUAUUUCUUAGUAAAUUCUCACAGGUUAUGAUACUCUUGCCUUGGCAUUCUAAACUAUACAAAGUAUAUGGCUACUGCAUGCCAAAAGAAAUACAGUGCCAGGUAGUAAAGGCAGUGAAAUGAACAA